CUUUACGGCAGUGUGGCCACAGCCGCCUUUGGGUUGCCCGCGGUCUGAUAGCGAGUUCAGGGCGGCAGCGUACACCGUGUUGGCUGGGCCGGAUACCAUGGACGUGGGCGAACUUCUGAGCUACCAGCCCAACAGGGGCACAAAACGUCCCCGAGAUGAUGAAGAGGAAGAACUGAAGAUGCGUCGGAAACAGGCUGGUACUCGAGAACGCAGCCGCUAUCGGGAAGAGGAAAUGACUGUGGUAGAAGAAACAGAUGAUGACAAAAAGA